rnacentral:rRNA from 1 species
GACGAACGCUGGCGGCGUGCCUAAUACAUGCAAGUUGAGCGCUGAAGGUUGGUACUUGUACCAACUGGAUGAGCAGCGAACGGGUGAGUAACGCGUGGGGAAUCUGCCUUUGAGCGGGGGACAACAUUUGGAAACGAAUGCUAAUACCGCAUAAAAACUUUAAACACAAGUUUUAAGUUUGAAAGAUGCAAUUGCAUCACUCAAAGAUGAUCCCGCGUUGUAUUAGCUAGUUGGUGAGGUAAAGGCUCACCAAGGCGAUGAUACAUAGCCGACCUGAGAGGGUGAGCGGCCACACUGGGACUGAGACACGGCCCAAACUCCUACGGGAGGCAGCAGUAGGGAAUCUUCGGCAAUGGACGAAAGUCUGACCGAGCAACGCCGCGUGAGUGAAGAAGGUUUUCGGAUCGUAAAACUCUGUUGGUAGAGAAGAACGUUGGUGAGAGUGGAAAGCUCAUCAAGUGACGGUAACUACCCAGAAAGGGACGGCUAACUACGUG